CUCACAACUCCCAACAUCUAUCCCCACCGAUUUUGCCAAAAAAAAAACCUCUAUCCUCACCGUAGUAUCUCUCCCAGCCUCAUCUCCUUCCCCACACUCCUCACUCCUCGCUCCUCACUGUUCUCCAUGUUCCUGGUCGCCUCAUCGAUGAAGAGAUCGACUCCUGCCACCUCAACCUCUCGCGUCUGUACUCCUCCUUCCCCGGCCCUCCUCCCAGCGACACACCGGAUUCAGCUCUCCCCCAUCCCGCCUCCUGUCUGACCGAUGGCUCCACUUCGACCUCCAGCGAUCGCUGACCCACGAACGACGGGAGCACGACUACCUCCGGCCGGAACCCCUGCUUCACGCAUCCGCUCUAGCCUGCCCUCUAGGGACUCCAUCCAGGCGGGUCCAUCCUCUCUGCUUUUAUUUCCUUUUUCUUGCAAUGAGAGGAUUUUGUGAUUCAGCUUAGGCAAAGAUUCAAGAAUCAAGAUAUGAUGUGUGCUUAUUUUUGUAGGCAUAAUGGUUGUUUUGCUAUCUACUGUGAUGCAUGAUCCAUGGGAUAGAAUGGCCUGAAAUUUUAAGGUUUUGUUGAACAAAUAUUGAUCCAUCCCAUGUAUGCAAUGAACUGGGUACAAAAAUAGCCGUGGUGAAAUUUCUGUUUGUAGUGUAGUGAAUUUUUUGUGCGGUUUAUCUAUAAUAAAUAUUCACAUAUUUUUGUGGCUCGGAGAUAUUAUCUUAACUUUUGUUAAUUAAGGCCUUGGGAAUAUGUCAUAAUGUUCCUGGAAUAUAUUCUGCCUACAUUCUAUUCCAGUUUCUACUUUCUAGCGAUAUGAUAUUAUUCAGGUCAGGAAUUUUGGUCAGCGUUGUUGCUUCCUAAUCUUAGUUUGAUUUUUGGCCAUUUAUAGCGGAGUUUUCAUUUCAAAGGAGGGACAAGAGAGCAUCUCCACUGACAAGGACAUGUAUUUGAAUGCAUCAGGAGAAGUAUACAUCAUUUGACAGGAGUACGAUAUAGGCUGGUCCGCUGGUGUGGACUGGAAAUUGGUACUGUUGGUAAGAAUCUACAAAAUUGCAAGCCACAGAUUCAACAAAAAAUCCGCAAAUACCUUAAGCUAAAGUGGACAACUGUGAUUUUGUAUUGGUAUUAACCUGCCCAGGAUUGGUAUCUCCAGGAUCUAUUUCGCUUUUUGGACAUGAUUGCCCUCGUCUGGAUUCACUGCGUGCAGUUCCUUUCUGGGUGUGCGUGGAGUUCCUUGCUAAGUGGAGUUCAUUUCUGGGUGUGCGUGGAGUCCCAUAUUGCCACCACCACCUCCUACAGCUAUUGUUUAGUUAUCAGGUCUGCCUUGUGAGUGGUAGUGCAUGCUAGUGCUGUUUUAUCUCGUUACCGUUAUUAUUAUCUUAUCGGGUUAUAUGUUAGGUAGAAUCAUGGUUACUUUAGUUGUUGAUAAUUGUUUAGCGGAGGCAUCGGUGGGUCAGCUGAUCGUUUUAUGACGGCUCACUUGUAUUUCCUAAAUAUCUUAAGACCCCGAGUUCUUGUUAUCUGUUCCGAGACUGAGCGCUCUAACCACACGCGUGUAUGCUUACCGGCUCUCCCCUCGACCAUUGCCGAAAUCUACAGCUUUGUCUGUAACAUCCCAAGAACGCCGACGCAGAGCAGUACGAGCAGGAGUACGAGUUCCCCUUGGAGGAUCGUGUCGGUGCUUCUACCUCUGAUCUGACA